GACGAACGCUGGCGGCGUGCUUAACACAUGCAAGUCGUACGGUAAGGCCCUUUCGGGGGUCCACGAGUGGCGAACGGGUGAGUAACACGUGAGUAACCUGCCCACAACUUUGGGAUAACGCUAGGAAACUGGUGCUAAUACUGGAUAUGUGCUCCUGCUGCAUGGUGGGGGUUGGAAAGCUCCGGCGGUUGUGGAUGGACUCGCGGCCUAUCAGCCUGUUGGUGGGGUAGUGGCCUACCAAGGCGGCGACGGGUAGCCGGCCUGAGAGGGUGACCGGCCACAUUGGGACUGAGAUACGGCCCAGACUCCUACGGGAGGCAGCAGUGGGGAAUAUUGCACAAUGGGCGCAAGCCUGAUGCAGCAACGCCGCGUGCGGGAUGACGGCCUUCGGGUUGUAAACCGCUUUCAGCAGGGACGAAGCUUUUUGUGACGGUACCUGCAGAAGAAGCACCGGCUAACUACGUG
rnacentral:rRNA from 1 species